UCAAAGAAUGUAUCUUGGCCUGACCUGAUACAUAGUUUCUUAGAGAAGAAAAUCAAUCAGAACUACAACACUCCCGAGGACAUCACUGGUUGUGUCGUCUAUUUGUUGUUGUUGUAUGCGGAGCAUACUCACUUGGUGAAACCAGUGACGUUACCAGAUGAUCGAUACCUUCCAAGAGCGGCAAGGUGGAACAUCAAAGAAAUAUCUGUUGAGUUUCUAAAGGAUAUGGAGGCUUCCCAAUACACACAUUCUCUAAAGAAUUUAAGGAUGAAUAUACUAUGUAUGAAAAAGAAAUGUUGAAUGA